rnacentral:rRNA from 1 species
GACGAACGCUGGCGGCGUGCUUAACACAUGCAAGUCGAGCGGAAAGGCCCUUUCGGGGGUACUCGAGCGGCGAACGGGUGAGUAACACGUGAGUAAUCUGCCUCGUACUUUGGGAUAGCUUCGGGAAACCGAAAUUAAUACCGGAUAUGACUCCAUGGCGCAUGUUGUGGGGUGGAAAGUUUUUUCGGUACGGGAUGUGCUCGCGGCCUAUCAGCUUGAUGGUGGGGUAAUGGCCUACCAUGGCUUUGACGGGUAGCCGGCCUGAGAGGGUGACCGGCCACACUGGGACUGAGACACGGCCCAGACUCCUACGGGAGGCAGCAGUGGGGAAUAUUGGACAAUGGGCGGAAGCCUGAUCCAGCAACGCCGCGUGAGGGAUGACGGC